AUGCGGUUCCUUUCCUCACUGUAGAUGGUGUUUGUUUUGGUGGGUGCUGUUAUUUGGAGCCACGGGGCUGCUGGUCUGAGUGCUGGGAUUUGGGCUGUUACCUUGUAGUUGGAAACUGCUGCAGAGGUUGGACUGCAGCUGCUUGGAACUGCAGUGUUGAAAGUGUUGAAAUCACUGUCACAGAAGGCUCUCCCUGCACAGGCACCUACCUACCUGCCCUGGGGAGGGGGCUGCAGCUCCGACUCAGCUGUGCCUGUUAGUAGCUGCUGACAGCAUUGCACCCACGCUUGCCCUGGGAUGCAUGUACUCAGGUGCUCACUGUCCCAGUGCCUGUGAAGCCAUGUGUGCAGGAGAAGCCCAGCUGAUUUCUUGCUGUGCUUUGCUGUCCCUUCCAUGCAUAGCAGGGCAGGGGAGCAGAAGCAUCCCUUCUUUCACACUUUUCAAGUCACUGCUUCUUCCAGCAGACCCUUUAGGGUCUGACUCAUCCUUGUCCUUGAAUGGAUUUCCUCUCUGUUAUCUUAUUGCUAAUGCUGUUAAUACUAAAACACAUUUAAAAUAAAUCCUACAUGUUGGUUGGCAGAGGAAAGCAGUAUUCACAGCUACUGCCACAGAGCCGUGAGAGCUGAACCACACUGGUCCUGUGUCCUGCCUUGCUGGCACAGCUGAGCUCAGCAUCAGCCUCUGUGCAUGGAAGGGGUGGAGGAUGGAGAUCACACCUGCCGAAGGCUGCCCCAGUUACGUGUUGCAGACUUUCCCUUAUGCUGUUGUAAUUCUGAAGCUUUAACAUCACAAACAAGUUGCCAAGGGCAGCAGAGAUGCGGUCACAGCAGUCCCUGGUUGUGUGACAAAUUUUGGGAUGCACAGAAAUGAUCUUGCUUAGGUUCAGAAAUUCAAAGGCGUUCAGAUAGCUUAAUAGGCUUUAAUGGGAAACUAAGGAGUACUGGGAUAGACAGCGCAUCUAGUAGCAUGACUGUUAUUUAUGCUGAUAGGAGAUGUGCAGGCAGCUCUGCGUAAAGCAGACACAUUGCCACCCCUGACUGACUGAACUUCAAGUGGCUAAGAAACAAGAACAAGGUUCCUCCUGGAAGUUCCCCUCCAUUCCAGGGUUCUUUCAGCAGCUGUGGCCAGCAGUCCUGUCUCUGGGCCAGCUGCAGCGCAGUUUGCUGCCUGUGGGAGAGCUCCUGGCUGAGGGCCCAUCCUCUGCCAUCCACUUGUCCUCAGUGAAGCCUGGUGCCAGCCCUGGUGAAGGCUGCACCCUGCAGCGUGCUGCACCUGCUGUGGGGAGCAGUCCCUGCCAUCGCUAAUGGAGCCUUCUGUCCCCACAGCACUGGGCCCAGGAGCUGGCUGUGGGAAAAACCCUCCAUGAGCUAUUCCUGAGAAAAUCAAUGCUUCCCCUGUACAGUCAGUCACUCAAGUUUGCAUUAAUCCUUCUUAAUCCUUUGCGAUAAAUGUAAAAUACAGUGUGUAUGCAUCUGAGUAACCAGCGCCAUUGCUCAUUUUUGCUUUCUGCAGCAGCCUUUGCAGUGCUUUAUUGCACAUACUCCUAAACAUUACAUUCAGCUUGUGCCUGUAACCGUUCCAUUGCACAGUUUCAGGCCUGCAGUGGGUGCAGCGGGAUGCUGCAGUAGGAUGCAGUUCAUGCAGUAACACUGUUCAUGUGUGAAGUUCUACAUUUGCCACUCCUAACACCAGGUAUUAAGUUCAGCAGGGGUAGGGGCAGUACCUAUAAUGUAACGUGAUGUCUUUAGUUUGUUAUAAAUAUCUAUGCAUAUCUUAUUUUCUCAGCAUCAGUUUUGGAAUAUUUUUUCCCAAUGAUUUUUUAAAUAUUUAAUUUCAAGUGAAUGAUUGCAAACCCCAAUUUUCCAGUAUGUGGGAUGAGUCUGAUGUGAGGCCUGUUUGGGUUCCUGCCUCAGUUAUCAAGUCUGUCAUUAAUUUUUCUGUCUUUUGGGCUCAUUAAAAGUUCAUGGACUAAUAUUGCUUACUUUGAAUCAGAUUUUCCAUACACAGGUUACAAAACCUAGCAGACGUUGUUCAUCUUCAGUAUAAGGCUGUGUAUUUUGGCAACUCAUUUGCUGCACCUAAAGAUGCAUGAGUUCUCUUUCCUCUUAAACAUGUCUAAGGGUUCCUAAGUGAUGCUGAACAAAUGCUUUCAGACCUUUGGUUGCAUUAAUAAGGAGAACAUGCAUUUCUUGUGACCUGGAAUCAGGAAGUACUGCCAUGUUGAGUACGGGUUGUGCUCUUUUGUGCUGUGCUUUGCAGCUGGCAGACUGGUUACAGUGGUCAGCUGUGUGCACGCUGUUCUCUGUCGCACAGGACGGACUUCAAAGCAGAAUCAAAGUUCAGUGGCUGUAAGACUUGCAGGUGCUCAUCUCAAAUACCGAUUGCUGUGCUUUCCUUGGUUUUGCUCAGUGGUAACUUUAUGAAGAAGAUACUUUCAGCUCUGCUGAAUGUGGGCUGCCGUGUGCCUCAAGGACUGUGGACACUCAGUAACUCUUCUGUUGAGAUUUUCAGUCUGCAGAACUCAGAAAAUGGGAGGGAGAGCAACAGGAUCCUCAGCAUUUGUUCUUUGGUGGCCAUUGCUUUGCCAGUUCUAAACCAGUGUGGUGUGAAGUGUAGUGCUCAGGCAUCUCUCUUAGAGGCUGCAGUUGCUUUUACAUGAAGGUUUAGGAGAGAAUUGGCAGCAGAAAGGCCCCAUGCAGGCCUGCAGGUAAAGGGCUGUUGGUGGCAGAGGAGUGAAAUGUUGCAAUUCUGAAUUUUUUCUAAAAACGAAGAGAGGACAAUGUGGUGGUUGACAGAGUUGGGAUAAUUAAUAUUUUCUUGGAAUGGCAGCCUCUAAUUAGGCAGGAGGAAGGGAUUAGCUCUGAGGUGCUUCCUUUGUCUCUGUCUAGAAGAUGCUACUGAGUUGUUUCUGCUUGUGCAGAACCUGCCGAUAGCAGAAGCCAUGCUGUAGCCCAUGGAGGUUGCUGUAUCUGAGCCUGUUAGGGGGCUCACUUUCAGGCUUUCUUUUUUUUAAACUCGGUAUCAGAACGAUUUCUGUUUCCUUUAUACGCAAUUCUGAUUCCUGUUGCAAAAGGACAAAAUCCACUCUGCUGCACUCAGCUGGGUUUUUCUGUGCUUUGAUGCACGUUGCUGACGUGGGCUCACCAUGUUUGGCAGCGAAGCCAAAAAAGGAAGGAAAAGAGACUCGGUUUGGUACGAAUGGCAGCGCUGGUGUCCUGCGGGAGCUCCCAGCCCUGUGCCCAUGGCAGCAGUGCUGAGUGAGGGCAGCGUGGGCCGGGCUGUGCUGUGCUCGCUGUUCUCACCUGGGUGUGCCAGCAGCAUUUCCCAAUGAAAAGCAAGAAGCAGUGAGCUGCCAUGAUGGUGUCCUUUUGGGUUCAGGGUUGGUCAGAUGUGUGACUGCUCCUGGUAGCGCAGGACCUGUGGGUUUGUUUUAUUUGUCAGGAAGGUGCUUGGAUGGGUAAUGGCAGGAAGGGCUGAGACAGCCAAGAUGUGGGAAUGAACUGCAGACCUCGGUUCCUGUUGGGUGCAUCUUCUCUAG